AAGCGGUUCAGUGUGUUCACGGGGUUCAGCUCCCGGUCCGUGACCGCCCUCGCCCGGAUCGCGCUCGACCCACCGGUGGAUGUCUUCGUGCACCAGGAUAGAAGCAGGUUUGGGAUAUCUUGGAGGUAAAGCAAGAAUUAUUCAUAAGGAAUCUGAUAUCAUUACCGCCUUUGCCAUUCAUAAAGGAAUUUGACCAGCUGGAAAGAAUGUCUUACAGAUACUGGUGCCAUCUGUGCCCAGCCAACAGCCCAGCCAGAUCAGCCUACAGCGAAGCUCUCAGGAAACCAGUCCCACCUACAUGCUGGGAGCUUCCAAUCACGUGUUACAGCACUUAACUCUAGUUUUUAGUUCCCUCCUCUUAAGUGUGAAUGAAUACAUGAUUAUUU